CCCUUCCCCUACAAAAAUUCCUUCAGCCAAACCCCAUCUCUAGAGGGCCGCUCACUCUAACCCCAUAUUCUUAGGUCUACCACCCCUCCCUUUUUCCUCAAGACCAAGCUCUCAUCUCUCCCCUCAUUCCAAAAAGACGCGCACACACAAAGAUGGAGGGAACGAAAUUUGGAUAGAAACUUUAGGUUCUUUAGGUUUCUAUCUUUUCUAAGUUUGGUUAAAAAUUUCAGAAUUUCAAAAAAAUACAAAAACGAAAAAAAAAAUAUUCUUUCAUGUUUCUUCUGCUGGAUCGUCGUUCGAGGUCCAAGUUCGUGGGGUUUCCCGAUUCGCCUCACUACUGUCUUCUUCUUUCAGAUUUUCACCUUUUGUGAAGUUGUUUCAGAAGCUCUAUUUUUCAUAUAUUAAUGAAAGCUUGGUUAACAGGAAGUGAUUUUGAGUAAAAAAAGUUAAUUUGGAUCUAAAUAGAACAAGUUAUAGCUUUGAAGUAUAAGUAGAAGCCCAAGAAAUUAAGACGGAAUCACAUUCGGGGGUCGAGGAUUAAGUCCGAAUGUCAAAAAGUGGAUAAAACGAUUUACUCUGAGAAAACAACACUGUUGUGCUGCAUGGGGCACCACAAUAGCGUGGCAUGACUAUGUAAACAUGGUUGCCUGACAGAAUUCAGCUCUCUGAACAUCCUCAUAAGCGCGUCACAUGGCACAGUGCGCCUGUAUAAAUUUCUCAGAGUUAUUUCCUAUUUCGGCUAGGAAAAGGGAGUUUCGUUUGGGCCCGUUCCUACAGAGUACAAAUAUAACAAAAAUAUAUUUUUGAAGGGACUUUUGACCUACGAAAAUUUGAGAAGCAACUAAGGCAAGAAGACACAAGAAUUCAUGAAGAUUUCAACCAACGAUCGGUGCAAUACGGGAGUUUGUGUCGAAUCAUUAUCAUUGAUGUUUUCUUUGUUUUUAAACCUUAUUGAGAUGACUUUUUCUAUUACUAUGGAGUAAUUUCCAUUAGGGUCUUGAUAGAUACGGUAUUUUGAUAAAUUGAUUAGGGAUUCGAUUCUUGAUAAUUGUUGGAAUUAAUUGAUGGAGUUUUAAUUUGUAUUAUGAA